rnacentral:lncRNA from 1 species
UGGGAAUUCCAACCUCGGUUGCCCUUCCUUUUGGGGUGUUUGAAAAGGUCCUGGAAGACAAAUCCAAUAAGGUUAGACUCGGUUUGCUCCGCUUCCUUCGAUCUGGACGUAUCGCUUCCCUGUUCGCUUCCUAAUAUUCUUCUCUGUGGACGAGAAAUAUUUACCAUCAGCCCUUUUAGUAAAAAGUUAAAAACAUUUUUGAUAUUAAGGAUGCAAAGGAAUUAAAGAUAUAUGAUCAGUAUCAUGGCUGGGAUCGUGCCAGCCAGUCAGCUAAUUUCAGGUGGUCUCUGAAACUGGCUCUGGCCCUGCAUUGCCCUCUGAGAUGGUCAUAUUGAAGAUCAUGUACCAAGUAAUCUUAGUAUUUUACCAAAAAUAUGAUCCUUAUUGUGUUCGAUUAAGUGAUGCGAUAUCUGUGCUCCUGAAACACUUGAUUGGUGCAUUUUUAUUUUUAAAGCUCAGGCUGUAUCUGUUGGAAAGGAUGACAUUGCUUUCAGUGCAAUGGGUGGGAGCUUGGUAGACAAAAGAGUCUAAGAAUUUGGCAGCAGGACCAAAUCAGGAAUAACUUAAUUCUCCUGCCCCAUUUUCGAUAGUUUAACAUUGAAUAAAUGCAGUUCUUGGGAGAUCACAAAAAUACUAUGAAAUACCCUAAGAUUGAACCAAUGUUUUUCUACCUCUUACCUGACGGAGCUAGCACAGAAAACCCUAGAAAUAUACGUCAAGUUUAGGAAUGGCAUCAUCAUCUCUCUCUCUCUCUAUUUCCCUUCUAAUGCUUGCCUAGUCUCAUAAAAAAAUUAUGGCCUAUGUAUUUUCACUGUCCUAGAAAAUUCCUUGGAUCAAUAUCCUGAUGCACAUAACAACUCACCUUUCCAUCAUGGACCUCCAUCUUCUACAGGCAGUGGCAGAUGAACUGCAGGUCUUGAAGUCAAAGCUAAAUGAAGGAGACUUCAGCAAGCUGGGAGAGAUUCGCAAGACGGUUUUGCAGCUAGCCGCUCCACCUCAGCUGGUAAAGUUAUUCGACACUCAGGAAAAAAUAUCCUUUUAAAUAAUAACGAAAAUGAAUAAAUAAAUGAAACAGUGAUUUAAAACUAGUAUAGGACUUUGGUAUUCAAAUUUCUGGCACAUCCAGCAUGGUUAUUGCCUAACCUAUCCUUUCGAUCUGCAUGUUGAUGUGAUGAUUCACCUACGUUUUCCUGAAAUAUUUUCUCUUCUACUGCUGUUGGAGUCGAUAUCUGAUGAGACAUGGUGAACAACGGCUGGUUUCAGGUAGAAGAGCUCAAGCAGAAGAUGGAGGAAUCGGGGAUGCCUUGGCCUGGUAACGAAGGUGAUCAGAGAUGGCAACAGGCAUGGUUGGCCAUAAAGAAGGUGAGACUUCUCUUCAGUCAAUUGAGAUCAAAACAACAUGGGGAGCUCUCUUCCAAUGGAGACCACAAUACGUCUUCCAGGUCUGGGCGUCAAAGUGGAACGAGAGGGCCUACUUCAGCACGCGGAAGGUGAAGCUCGACCAUGACUAUCUAUGCAUGGCUGUCCUUGUUCAAGAAGUCGUGAGCGCAGAUUACGCAUUCGUCAUCCACACUACAAACCCAUCUUCUGGGGACUCAUCAGAGAUCUAUACGGAGGUAUCUCAGUCGAUCACAGACCCCAAUCAUCCAUUUUUUUCCUCGAUUCAAUGGGGGUUUCUGAUUUGCUUCAGCUUCCCCUCUAUGGUGUAGGUUGUUAAGGGGCUUGGCGAAACCCUUGUUGGGGCUUACCCUGGCCGGGCCUUGAGUUUCAUCUGCAAAAAAGAUGAUCUUGGCUCUCCUAAGGUACGUAAUGCUGAUUGUUUAUUUAUGUAUUAUUACAUGCUUCCUGUUAUUUUCAAUUUUGAAUGGUCUGAGCUCACAAUUUUUUAUUUUAUUUUAUUUUAUUUCCAGGUGCUAGGUUACCCAAGCAAACCAAUUGGUCUAUUCAUUCGACGAUCUAUUAUCUUCAGAUCCGAUUCCAAUGGUGAAGACUUGGAGGGUUAUGCGGGCGCAGGUCUCUACGACAGGUCAGUUUAAUCCUCGACGCUGAGAAUUUUCCUGAAUUAUCUAUUACCCGACUUUUAUUUCUGAUGAAAACAUAAAUUCUGAAUUAUUUUGCCCCCAAGGCAGCUAAACCAGGAUCAAUUCACAGUAACAGAAAACGGACAGCAGCCAACUUUUUCAACGAUUUAUCCUCAGCUGCCAUGGCUUCUUAAAUAAACCCUUGAUUCCCUAAACCCUAAACAAGAACCCUAGCCCUUACGCAGCAUCAAUUCCGAGUUUCCAGAACCAUAGGCCUUAACGACCAUCAGUACUCAGUUUUCCGGAAGCGGCCAGCAACGAACCCUAGUUUCUACGUCUUCCCAAACCUGGAUUUCCCAAGCCGUAAGAUCCGGAGAAUGGUGAACUCACCUGAUUGACUCCGUCGCUGUCGCAGCGUGCCGAUGGACGAAGCCGAGAAGGUCGUUCUCGACUACUCCUCCGACCCGCUGAUCGUGGAUGCCGGCUUCCGCAAGUCGAUCCUCUCCAGCAUCGCGCGCGCCGGGAACGCGAUCGAGGAGCUCUACGGCUCCCCGCAGGACAUCGAAGGAGUGGUGAAGGACGGGAAGAUCUUCGUCGUCCAGACGCGCCCCCAGA